GUGCGAAAUAGUCGAAAUGUCAUCGACUAUGGUCGAUUAUGGUGAGGACACGACAGAUCUAAUAAUUUGACAGGUGUCUAACAACUGUACAGAUGUCUAACAAGUGCACAGGUGUCUAACAAUUGUACAGAUGUCUAACAACUGUACAGAUGUCUAACAACUGUACAGGUGUCUAACAAUUGCACAGGUGUCUAACAACUGUACAGGUGUCUAAUAAUUGUACAG